rnacentral:rRNA from 1 species
ACUGCCCAUGAUUGAAGGUGGUAUUUUGACUGUGCUAAGGUAGCAUAAUAAUUUGCUCUUUAAUUGGGAGCUGGGAUGAAAGAUUUAAUACUUUUUAUAAGUCUCAGCUACUUAGUGAUAAUUUAUAUUACGAGUAAGAAUACUUGUAUGUAAUAAUGGGACGAUAAGACCCUAAAAGCUUUAGUAUAAUUGGAUAAUUUAAUUGUUGUUAUAAUUUUUGCUGGGGUAGUAUGUAAAUAAAGAUUUUUUAAAAAAUUUACCUAAUUUGGGAUUUUGGUCUUUUAUAUAAAGAUAGAUAGGUAAAGUUACUUUAGGGAUAACAGCAUAAUAGCUUUGGAAAGAUCAUAUUUAUAAAGUUGGUUAUGACCUCGAUGUUGAAUUAAAAGUUUCUAAGUGGGGCAGCAUAUACUAGAGAGGGUUUGUUCAACCUUUGAUUUUUUACGUGAUCUGAGU